UUGGAGGGCAAGUCUGGUGCCAGCAGCCGCGGUAAUUCCAGCUCCAAUAGCGUAUAUUAAAGUUGUUGCAGUUAAAAAGCUCGUAGUUGAAUUUCGGGAUCAAUUUUAUUGGUCGUGCUAUUGUACGUACUGGUAUUAUUGAUUCCUACCUUCUGACGAACCAUGAUGUCAUUAAUUUGGUGUCAUGGGGAAUCAGGACUGUUACUUUGAAAAAAUUAGAGUGUUUAAAGCAGGCUCACGCUUGAAUACAUUAGCAUGGAAUAACGAAAUAGGACGUUUGAUUCUAUUUUGUUGGUUUCUAGGAUCGACGUAAUGAUUAAUGGGGAUAGUUGGGGGCAUUAGUAUUCAAUUGUCAGAGGUGAAAUUCUUGGAUUUAUUGAAGACUAACUACUGCGAAAGCAUUUGCCAAGGAUGUUUUCAUUAAUCAAGAACGAAAGUUAGGGGAUCGAAGACGAUCAGAUACCGUCGUAGUCUUAACCAUAAACUAUGCCGACUAGGGAUCGGAUGAUGUUAAUUUUUUAAUGACUCAUUCGGCGCCUUACGGGAAACA
rnacentral:rRNA from 1 species